GCACCUGGACACACCUCCGUGGAGACGGGGGCCAGGGCUGCGCCCACGCGCCUGCCGGGGCCAAAGCUGGAGGCUCCUGGUGGAGGGUGUUGCCCGCCCGCUGAGGGUCAGACCCGUCGCGUUUGGGGCCAGGAAGGAAGCUGACCCCCUGGUCAGGCCGAUACAGACGGGGGUUGCCUUCGUCUGCGCGGGCGGAGGGCGGAGGGAGGCAUGGCCCUCCACCCCAGGUCUCUGGAGCAUUUGAUAUUGCGCGCUGGCUGCGGCGCUUCACCUGGGGCAGGCAGGUGGAUGCUGGUGCGUGUUGUGCCGGGGUUGGCGGGAGUCUGGUGCAGCGUUUAGGUGAUGGUUUGGAUGGGGCUGGCGCUGCCCGGGGCAAGGGGCCGGACGAGAUGACCUCCGCAGGCCCCUUGCAGCCUGACUUCUCCGUGACGCGGCCCUGCCUAUCCGUCCCAAAUCUCCGGCGCCAUCCUGGUUUUCACAGGAUCUCACGCUUGGGAUUUGAAGUGCUCCAGAGGACCUAUAAACCCCAUCCUUGUGCGGCCUGUUGCGCUGAGCCAGCCCCCACGUUGCGAUGGCGGAGCUCGUCUCCUCCGUGGGCAGAUCCAGGACAGCGGCUCCCAAUCCGUGGUACUGGCGUACAGACAAACUGUCAAUGAUUGGGAAACUGAGGCCAAAGAAGAAGGCAGGGACCCAGACCUCUGCCAGCAACAUUAGGUACUUGAGCCCUGCUUCACUGCCACUGAAAACACCUAAAUCCAAAAUUCAAAUCCUUUAAAACCCCUGCUCAGUUGUCAUUAAAUCACCAUUCAAGCUGCCUAGACAACUUAGAAGUCUGCUUCAGAGCACACCCCCGAGCUGCCUACAACCUAGCAGUGAGGAGCUGCUCAGCACACCAGCACCGUUAGGAUUCACAAACCAGGUGCUUCUCAUCCUGUGUCAUCUGCCAGGCCUAAUCUAAGAGGUAUUCUCAGAGUAUGCUUAGAUGAUCAGAUUGUACGCUCCUAAAUCUCCAAGGCCUGUUUCUCUCUGCAGUGGCAGGCACCCGCUGUGUGCUCAGGUCAGAGCCUAGAGUGGACACACAUCAAACUAGCUCCAUCUUCCUUAGCUGGCGUGCACAAGAGCUGUAUUGAUUUGGCACCCAACUCUGGGAACAGAGCUGGUGUCAUUGGGUCACGGAGUCACAGGAGAACAAGAACGCCUGUGUGAAAGCCCACACCUGCUGGAAAGGGUUCAUGAGCAAGCUGCCCUCCUGGCUGCACCUGCGCCCUGCAGUAACUGGGAAGGCCUGGGGUCUAGGGAGGCCAGCUUUCUCCGCUACAACAGUGGCCGGACCUGUGGUGGUCGUUGGCCUGGGGAGUGGCUCAGGAAGGAAAUUGGGGGCUAGCUUCACGACGUGGGGAAGGGGAAGAGAGACCUUUUUUUUUUUUUUUUUUUUAACCUUUUAAACCUUUAUUAUAAAAAUAUUAAAAACAAAAGGAUGAAGGUGCAAAACUGUGCACCCGCUCCCCCCAAACCAAGGACUGAGCAUGAAACAUUUGUCAGCAACAGAAACACUAAUGUCACCAGAGACUGAAACCAGAUCCCUUGUCAAUUUUUUCCAGCUAUUUAAGUUGGUCUAAUAAAAGAUAUUGGAUUUACCCAAAGAA